rnacentral:lncRNA from 1 species
AAAAAUCCUAGAACUCGCGGAUGGGUUGAACUCGAGGAAUUCAAUCCGAACGUGGAUUUUCAAUGAAAAGUGAUGGGAUUUGGAUCAUGGGAGAUGUGCUGGAAUGGCUGGAUGAUUAUCAAUGGAAUUUCAAAUUAAAAUUGAAUGGAAAAUCAGCACCAUCCAUUUCGAUCUUAUCUCACUCGCAUGAACCAUUUAUUGUUUGAAUUUUCAAUUCAAACAAGAUAAUCUAUCUUGUUAACACCAACCCCUUCAUGCAC